UUUAUUAUAUCAAUAAUUUUUCUCAUUUAAUUUUUGUUAUUAGCAUUCACAAUAUGACGUAGAAAUUUCAUUCGUUACAAGUACUCGUAGAGAUUUCGUCACAGAAUAUAUAGCCUGUAUUUAAUAGGACCGAAGGAACAUUCCAUGUGUCCGCAGAGAAGGCUACAAAAUGAGAUCGCUGCUAGCCUCAGCGAAAGCGAGGAUGCGAUACUAACGUAGAGUGCAAACCCAAGCACUUUGACUUGGGCACAUGUUGUGCCAACUCAGCGAAAAUGCAAGCUCAUAUCAUCAAAAGGAGGAGAGGCAAGGAAGUGAGAUUAAGCCCUUGUUCGACAGCUGGCAACGUAUAUCAUACGUAAUACACGUACGAGAAUAGCAGAGAGAGAGCAAUGUAUAAGAAGUACAUUUAGAAAGAACUCUACAUUUAUUAUAAUGUUCCAUAUACAACGAUGGAGGGUGGCGGUGAAGAAGACGAGAAGGAGAGGAGAGGGAAAGCAGAGCAAGGGUGGGGCGACGAAGCUGCCG